rnacentral:rRNA from 1 species
UACGUAGGGGGCUAGCGUUGUCCGGAAUCAUUGGGCGUAAAGCGCGUGUAGGCGGUCCGGUAAGUCCGCUGUGAAAGUCGGGGGCUCAACCCUCGGAUGCCGGUGGAUACUGUCGGGCUUGAGUACGGAAGAGGCGAGUGGAAUUCCCGGUGUAGCGGUGAAAUGCGCAGAUAUCGGGAAGAACACCUAUGGCGAAGGCAGCUCUCUGGGACGGUACUGACGCUGAGACGCGAAAGCGUGGGGAGCGAACAGG